rnacentral:lncRNA from 1 species
UGGCUUGUUUUGAUUGGCCAUGGUUGGGUUUUUUCUUUUAGCGCGUAAGUGACAAGGUGAUCGGUUGAUAAAAUGUUCCACAUAUUUUUAAAACAUCACAUUUCAUAUUAUUUCAUUUUUCUUUUUCUGAUGUGUGGAUUGGACCGGGACAUGUACCACUUGUUUUCCCCACCCCCCUUUCUGGCCCAUUUUCGUGGCUAGCCAUUUCCUUUUAUCCCUUUUACUAACAUGAACCCCCAUUCCAUUUUCUUUUAUUAUUUGAUAAUUGUUUCUAUUGUUUUUAUUUAAAAUACCUCCUUUUAUCCAAAAAUUCCCAAUUAACUCAUGAUUAAUAUUUGGCUUGUUAUUUAAUUUUCCUUAUUUUUAUUUUUUAUUUUUUUAUUUAUUUUAAUAAUUGUUUUGAUUUUUGUAUUUAAUUAUCUCUAAUUAACCUAGUUUUAUUUGUUAGGGUUUGAUUUUUA